rnacentral:rRNA from 1 species
UACGAAGGGGGCUAGCGUUGCUCAGAAUCACUGGGCGUAAAGCGCACGUAGGCGGGUCUUUAAGUCGGGGGUGAAAUCCUGGAGCUCAACUCCAGAACUGCCUUUGAUACUGCAAAUCUCGAGUCCGGAAGAGGUGAGUGGAAUUCCUAGUGUAGAGGUGAAAUUCGUAGAUAUUAGGAAGAACACCAGUGGCGAAGGCGGCUCACUGGUCCGGUACUGACGCUGAGGUGCGAAAGCGUGGGGAGCAAACAGG